AGGGCUAUAGCUCAGCGGUAGAGCGCCUCGUUUACACCGAGAAUGUCUACGGUUCAAAUCCGUAUAGCCCUA
rnacentral:tRNA from 16 species